GAAGUUGGUCGGAUGGUCGCUGGAAGGUUUACCUUUCAGAGGAAAGUCCGGGCUCCACAGAGCAAAGUGCUAGCUAACAGCUAGGUAUGGUGACAUAACGGAAAGUGCUGCAGAGAUUUAAACCGCCUAUUUCGAUAGGUAAGGGUGAGAAGGUGCGGUAAGAGCGCACCGCGCGUUUGGUGACAACCGUGGCAAGGUAAACCCCAC
rnacentral:RNase_P_RNA from 1 species